rnacentral:rRNA from 1 species
UACGUAGGGUGCAAGCGUUGUCCGGAAUUAUUGGGCGUAAAGAGCUGCUAGAGCGGUUUGUCGCGUCUGCCUGAGCGGAUUCGGACUCAGCCGACUGCGUGGGUACGGGCAGACUAGAGUGAUGUAGGGAGACUGGAAUCCUGGUGUAGCGGUGAAAUGCGCAGAUAUCAGGAGGAACACCGAUGGCGAAGGCAGGUCUCUGGGCAUUAACUGACGCUGAGGAGCGAAAGCAUGGGGAGCGAACAGG